GAAAGAGCUGCCACCGAAAAAGGGGCCCGUCCUUCCUGCUUCAUCUCCAGAGGAUGCACCAACCCCAGCCUGCAGGUCUGCCUCCGGGCCCUCUGGCUAGAGGGGGGUGGCAGGCUUCGAGUGGAUUCUCCUUGCAAAUGAGAUAAGACAUCUGAGAACAAAGAAGUCAUGAAGAAGAGAGGAAAUCAUGAUAGGCUGACAGAAUUUGAAGAAAGAGAAACCGCGUAUUUUCUGAGAUCUAAUCCAUUUAUUUGGGAUCCAUCUGAAUGAGCAUCUUAUUUCACUGGGCAAUCCUGUAUUCUAGCUGCAGAUGAAGAGAGUGCUUCACUUCAAACCUCCUGACUGCCAUGGAACCAUCUGGCACGUGCACAUGUGUGGGAUAUAAGAAGAAUGGCUCCUUCCUGAGUUACUCUUUCUUGGAUCAAUUACUCUGAUGGAAACCAGCUACCAUGUCACAAGUACACUCAGCUGGCCUAAUGGGAGACCCACAUGGGAAGGAACUGAGGCCUCCCAUCAAUAACCAACA